rnacentral:rRNA from 1 species
CACGUAGGGCGCAAGCGUUGUCCGGAAUUAUUGGGCGUAAAGAGUUCGUAGGCGGUCUGUUGCGUCUGCUGUGAAAACUCGGGGCUUAACCCCGAGCCUGCAGUGGAUACGGGCAGACUAGAGGUAGGUAGGGGAGAAUGGAAUUCCCGGUGUAGCGGUGAAAUGCGCAGAUAUCGGGAGGAACACCGGUGGCGAAGGCGGUUCUCUGGGCCUUACCUGACGCUGAGGAGCGAAAGCGUGGGGAGCGAACAGG